rnacentral:rRNA from 1 species
GACGAACGCUGGCGGCGUGCCUAAUACAUGCAAGUAGACCGCUGAAGCGAGGAGCUUGCUCUUCUUGGAUGAGUUGCGAACGGGUGAGUAACGCGUAGGUAACCUGCCUUGUAGCGGGGGAUAACUAUUGGAAACGAUAGCUAAUACCGCAUAACAAUGGAUGACCCAUGUCAUUUAUUUGAAAGGGGCAAAUGCUCCACUACAAGAUGGACCUGCGUUGUAUUAGCUAGUAGGUGAGGUAACGGCUCACCUAGGCGACGAUACAUAGCCGACCUGAGAGGGUGAUCGGCCACACUGGGACUGAGACACGGCCCAGACUCCUACGGGAGGCAGCAGUAGGGAAUCUUCGGCAAUGGGGGCAACCCUGACCGAGCAACGCCGCGUGAGUGAAGAAGGUUUUCGGAUCGUAAAGCUCUGUUGUAAGUCAAGAACGAGUGUGAGAGUGGAAAGUUCACACUGUGACGGUAGCUUACCAGAAAGGGACGGCUAACUACGUG